GGGAAAAUCCGCCAGGGUUAUGCCUUUCCAACACCAACAAUAAAAUACAAGUCAUUGGAUUUUCAAAUGGAAGAAAAGGGACAAAUUGGCAAUGAAGUUCACACGAUCCAGAAACACAAAUUCCAAUCUCGCACUAUUCUCCUCAAACAUUGAAUUACCAGAACAAACAAACCUCUGCCCUGUCUAAUAAAUGUAAUAACCCCUAUGCGACAAGUGUAUAUGCUUCAAGAUCCUAACAGGUCCUAUAUGGGAUGGAACCUUCAAUCAUCGCCACAUCAGGCUUACAUGCACUGGCAACUAGUGUAGCAGAAACACAAAAAUGGCACAGAUCAGGUCAGGUUCUCCCAGAGGGAAAAACUCGAGCAUGAACUUCUCGGGUGCAGGUAUGUAAACUAGAGGCUGCUAACGGUCAAACCACAGGGUUGAAACAAAGCACACAAAUUUCCCAGGCAAUGUAUUCAGGAUUUAGCAAACAUAUAGCGGCCUCUUGAUUGAAUCAGAUCAUCUUACUACACAACAUAUGCCCAAGGAUGCUGGUGAAACUUCGUACUUUGAUCAUUCCAGUCAGAAUCUUUCGACACUUCUUGAUGACAAAAUCAAUGGAAUCACUAAUUUGAGACUCCUUAAUUAUAGAGAAAUUGCACUCUGUUCCCUCUCUUUGGCCAACUUUGCUUGUAUUAGCUUAUCCAAGAUGGGAGGCUCCAGAGGAAUUGGGUCGAGACAACGUUCUGAAGUGCCAACAAUUACCUCAUCGAGCAAAAAGUCAAUGGCUGCUUCAUCUUCAACGGUUUCCUUUAGAGGAGCCCUUAGGAACUGAAUAUCCAACUGAAUUUGCUGAAAACCACUCCGGUUGAAAGUCUGGAGUCUGACAAAUUCUUGCAAACUCUUUAGGCAAAGUUUUACUAUAGUGGUUACCACAGAUUCCUGUGUAAAUUCAGUUUUUGUAAAAAUCUCAACUUUUUGCUUAAACAAUUUUGCUAGGUGGGUUUCCAGAAGCUGGCUCCUGGCCCUUUGAGUAUUUGUCCGACUCAUUUUAUCAUCUCGCAAUGGAUUGCUGCGAGAGGAUGCAGUGCUACCAUUGCUUUCAGAGCGACGAUGCUUGCGAAGAACUCCUUGUGAUAAAACCUGCUUCACCUCAGAACCUAUUGUUUCCAACUCCUGAAGAAGUAAGUCAACAAACAUAUGAACUUCUCUUGGCUCCUUGUGCUUGACCCAGUUUGGAGCUUUAAACCUCUUCUUAAGGAGAACUGAUACUCUCUGAGUUCUCAUAGUUAUAUAAUGGUGUAGAAACUUUUCACCAGCUGACCGAAAGAUUCGACAAAUUUCACCAGGAACAAAAGCAGGCCCAUUUUCAUAGCCUCGUACACCACUGCCAGAGAAAGAAGUAGCUAUUUCCUCAGUAAUCUUUGGGAUGGCAGUUUGUUCAAUAAAAACAGAAAGUUGAGCCAACACCAGGACAAGACCUGCAAGCACUUUGUCAACCACCUUUCCCUCUGUCAAACCUUGUGCUUGACUGACUGAUUUAUUUCUUCCAGAAAGUAAGAGGAAAUGAUCAUCCAGAGCCCUGAAGAAUUCCUGAAAUCCUUCUUGAAUCCAAUCAACAAUCGAGUCUCUCAACUUUAGAAGUAACCCUAAGUUGUCAUCAACAAGAUGGCGCAAGUCCACUAAGACAUCCAUGCUUCCUUUAAGCACUGCAUUUUUGCUGGUUUCCAGGGCAACCUGCAAGGGAUUCUCUUCCACUCCCUCUUUUUGUUUCAUAUGAAUGUUGACAAUGAGGGCAUCUGCUGGUUUGAACAGAACUUAACUUAGAACAUUAAGGUUAUCUAAUGAUAAAAAGAUAACAGAUUAAAAAAAAUAAAAAAAUUAAUUAUGAUUUGUCCUUAGCUUUUUGGUCAAACAAACACAAAUCAUUCCCAAAACAUUUAGUAUGUGUUUAUGCCACUUCAAGAUUCUUCUGUACUGCUAUUAUCCCUUUCCAAAUAACAAACCAUUGUAACAACAGUUAGGAAAUAAAACUUCAGUAAAAUUGUAAUAGUAACCUGAGAUAUCAUGCAGAAGGUGAGAAAAUGUGAUUGCAACAUAUUGCUUGACAACCCGCUGGGCAGCCUGAAACCAACUAGGAUUAUGAGUAUACCAAGUUCCAUUCUUGGAUAUAACAAUAGAUUUCCUCCCAUUUCAGAUAAAGGAUGAAAUACAGAUGGAGAUUGUUAUGGAGUAUAAGAACAAAAUUAAAGGACAACCUCCAAAGAAUAAUCAGGGAGAAAUGCCUCAUUUAAUACUUCAUCCAUCAGAAGCACAUCUCUCCAUAUAACUCCUGCAUUUGGCAAGGCAUUUCAAAAAAUAAGAUGGGAAGCUGCCAAAUGAGAAAGAUCAACAAAUAACAUUUACCAAACUAAAGAUUAAGUUAUCUUUAGAAGGCUUAAGGCAAAACACUUCCAAGAACAAUCAGAAAUAAAAGGUUGAACUCAUUAGAUGAGUGAUAACAUUAACAUUAAAAGUAUCAAGCUUAUUUUUCAUCAACUACAAUAUUCAGCAAAAUGCAACAUAAGUUUAAUAUGAUUAGGGCAUCCACCAUUCCAAUAGCGUCUACCCUAAAAGGACAUCCUUUUGACAUCAUAACAGCAUUGCCUAGGAAGAAAACUUAUUUAUCCAUAUGCAGGCAAGACAAGAACUUCAGUUCCCCACUAUAUUUUUGGUGAGGAAGCUCCAUUUUACAGAGAUCCCAUACAAAAAGAACCCUGAUACUUACAAGGACUGUGAAACCAAGCAGCACGGACAAUGAGUAAAAACAAUGCUAAAGAAGUUUCUUACAGUAUCAGAGCAUUACAUUGCAGGCUAUUUGCAUCACAUAGAAGAAUACUAUAUCACAUAUUAGUUGCAUGAGGAAAGUAAAGAUCACUUACAACAGGUUGUGGAAACAAAAUAUCUCAAAUUCAUGUUCACAAGUGACUUGAGAUGAAUGAAAACAUUGGCAGGAUGAAAAAUUAAAAUUAAUAGAAGACAAACUGAAUAGCUAGUUAACAUAGUAACUAGCAAUUGUACGUUUGUAGUGCAAACGUCAUGAAUCUCAAGAUUAUAUGUUGGAAGAUUCAUAGUACUUACGGAGAAAACCCAAAAACUUUGCAACAGAAAUCUGUUCCUUUAUGUUUUGCUCAGUGAUUUCAAAGUGCUUGGUAAUCAAGUCUUGAGAGAGUUUAAUUAGUUGCUUUUCUGAGUCAGGAAAUAUUACUCGAUAAGCUUUGAUAGCCUCCGCAAACUCAUGAACAGAAGCAUCAAUUGUGCUUGUAGUUUUUGAAGUAUCAUUAGAGUCCUCCAAAAAAUUGGUUAUUUCUUCUCUCUUGAGCUGAAGAUCCUGAAGCAAUUGUUCUAACUUUUCAAAAAGUUUAGCCUUUAAGCUGUCCACCGGAAAAUCCAACUGCUUAAGCAGCACUGCAGCCUCAGCCCUUGCUUGUAUGGAUUCAGUAUCUGAAAAAAGCUUCCCCUGCAAAUUUUUUAUAAUUGUGGCCAUAGCUUCUUCAGAUGCUCGCUUACAGUCCUGGAAUGAUGAAUCCCCAUAUGCCUUAAAAAUUGGCAUUGCUCCGGUAUAGAACCUGACUGCAUCAGCAUAUGCUUCUGAUUUAAUACACUUCCCAAGUCUAGCAGGUAGAUCAUAUAUAAACUGCUCUUUUCCACAUAAGAAGAAAUCUGUGUGACUCAUACAUUGCCAAAAACCAAUACUCAAAUUUUGGAGAAUGAGUAUCACAAUUUCUGUCCCAUUAAAAUUUGAAUUGUACAAAAUCUUCAAUUAUGAGACCCUAUAGAAACAUUACUGUCAAGAUUCAACUGGAAAGUGAGAACUAACAACUACCAACAAGCUUAGAGUUCCGACAACAGGACUAGCUGCACAUCACUUCCAAGACAACCGCUUUGACGACCCUUAAAAAAAGGGUUGACUAAAUAACAUGAAAGAACAUAUGCACAUAUAGUGUUGAUUCAUCGUUCUAUAAAAUCAAACCCUCUAAAGAGAAUAUUCAGUUUCAGUUCAGUAUUUUCUCAAGCAUUUGUUUGCAAAGGUCACAAAGAGCAUGUAACUGGUAUAUAAUAAACCAUGAAAAGGGACGCCAGUAAUCUGUGUACCUGAACUUUACGAAGAAGGUUACGUGUGCGAUGCAAUUUCUCUAUAUGUUCCCUCUUUUCAAAAAGAGAUGUGUUUACACCAUCACUUCUUGAUUGCACAGACAUUAUUUUCUCAAGGAGCUGCUCCAUAUUUGCUUCCAUGCCCACAAUAUUAUUGUUCAUCCUCUUGAUCGUGUCAGUAGCGCUGAUGAACUUGUUGUAAUUUUCAUACACUAACAUUUGCAAAUCAGUGUCAAGAUUCUUUAUCUCGGCUGCCAUUUCAACAUGCUUCUGCAGAAGCCCUUCCAAGUUUGAUUUUUGCACCAAGAGAUUCAUGUACUGAUCAGCGUCGAAGGAUGUGGUGUUGAUGGCAUCUAAGGAAGCGAAUUUCGAAGAAUUGCUGGAUGACAUUGCAGGAUCCGGAGAGUAAAAGCUUGAUAGCAGAUCUCUCAUUCUCUUCGCCUUGUCAUCCAGAGGUACAUCAUCAACCCCCAUUUUCACUUAUCUUUGCUUAGCUUUCACUCCUUUCACAAAAGAUUCGUAGGCGAACAAACUGAUUCUACAGUUCAAAUAUUUGGCACAGAAGGAAUCAGAAAUUGCAAUUAUGGAUUGCCGGAGCAUGAAGCAACAGCAGCUUUAAGGCUUAUUGAGAACCCAGUUUAACUGAUUCCAGUGAAAAACGUUAGAAGUUGGCGGAGUCGCGUUGAACCGUGAGCCUCUGCCUUGUACCACGCAGAUGGGCUGAUUUGUCUGAAAAUCCAACACCG
rnacentral:misc_RNA from 1 species